UGCGUUGAACCUUUUGUAGGUCGCAAGUAACUCUGAAAGAGUGAAGCAACGGGAA
rnacentral:ncRNA from 2 species